rnacentral:rRNA from 1 species
AUUGAACGCUGGCGGCAUGCCUUACACAUGCAAGUCGAACGGUAACAGGUCUUCGGAUGCUGACGAGUGGCGAACGGGUGAGUAAUACAUCGGAACGUGCCUAGUAGUGGGGGAUAACUACUCGAAAGAGUGGAUAAUACCGCAUAAGAUCUACGGAUGAAAGCAGGGGAUAGCAAGACCUUGUGCUACUAGAGCGGCCGAUGGCAGAUUAGGUAGUUGGUGGGAUAAAAGCCUACCAAGUCGACGAUCUGUAGCUGGUCUGAGAGGACGAUCAGCCACACUGGGACUGAGACACGGCCCAGACUCCUACGGGAGGCAGCAGUGGGGAAUUUUGGACAAUGGGCGCAAGCCUGAUCCAGCAAUGCCGCGUGCAGGAUGAAGGCCUUCGGGUUGUAAACUGCUUCUGUACGGAACGAAAAGCCCUGGGUUAAUACCCUGGGGUCAUGACGGUACCGUAAGAAUAAGCACCGGCUAACUACGUGCCAGCCGCCGCAGUAA